rnacentral:rRNA from 1 species
CAAUGGACGAAAGUCUGACCGAGCAACGCCGCGUGAGUGAAGAAGGUUUUCGGAUCGUAAAGCUCUGUUGUAAGUCAAGAACGUGUGUGAGAGUGGAAAGUUCACACAGUGACGGUAGCUUACCAGAAAGGGACGGCUAACUACGUGCCAGCAGCCGCGGUAAUACGUAGGUCCCGAGCGUUGUCCGGAUUUAUUGGGCGUAAAGGGAGCGCAGGCGGUCAGGAAAGUCUGGAGUAAAAGGCUAUGGCUCAACCAUAGUGUGCUCUGGAAACUGUCUGACUUGAGUGCAGAAGGGGAGAGUGGAAUUCCAUGUGUAGCGGUGAAAUGCGUAGAUAUAUGGAGGAACACCAGUGGCGAAAGCGGCUCUCUGGUCUGUCACUGACGCUGAGGCUCGAAAGCGUGGGUACCGAACAGGAUUAGAUACCCUGGUAUC